CCGUUUGGAAAAACGUGGAUUCUAAGGUGCACACUUUAUUGAAGCCCCUUAAAUGAGAAAAGGCAUGUCUUAGAUUUACUGGAAUACAGUACAAAGGAAUUGCAGUAGUCCGUGUUAAGAAGGGAGGCAUAAUGCAUAGGAGAUGUUACUGUAGUUCAUGGAAUAUUGAAGUUCAUUGGGGACAAGGUAAUCAAAUUAUAUAAAUAACUUUCCCCAAGUGUAAAGGUUUUAAGACUAUUACACUGCCAUCCAAAAUAAUAUUCUGUGGAGCUAAGUUGGCUUAACUGUAAUUGUACUGUUGAAGUGACUUGUAGUAACUACUGUUGCAAAUGAUGCCAUUAAAAACAUUAUGUUAUCUUGAUUAUUACAUCACAGAUGACCAAACUAGGUUGUUACUUGUGUCCUAGUUUUAAAUCCUAGCUCUUGGGAUAAGUCAUGUUUUUAAUUAGGAGUUCUAAUUAUUCUCAAUUCUCUUAAUUUUCCCACUGAUUUGAGUGGCAAAUUUAAGCAGUCUUGUUCUACUGUUCUGUGAGUAGAGAGGGUGAUGCGGGCCUUUUAGAAGCUUCUGCAGGUUUUUCCUGCCAUUUUCUAAUUUAGACAAACAUAUUAAGAUACCUUUGAACUGCUCUUUGCCAUGAAGUUCAGUGUAAGCAGAGUAGAAGGAGAAGUCUGUCUUAUUGUAAUGCUACUGAUCUUUGAUGAAAUUAAAAAGAUUCUGAUUUUAAAACAUGUUUGAUUUGUUGAAUGAUUAUUGUAAAUGCCCCAAUCAUGAUUGUAUUAGCACUGUUACUAAACCUAAUGAAUGCAAGUGUUCAUAUGUUACUUGGAUUUGAAACAAACCCCAAAGCUCAAUUUAAAUUUUUGGUCAAAUGCAUCCUUGAUUAGCAUCUUACCAGUAUUUAUGUGUACACUAAUAAAUGUCAUCUAGUCAACACUGAGCUGGGUCACUGGAGUCCUUACGAGCUUGUUGUAGGUAAACUUGUUUUCAAAACUUGUUUCUGAUUAAUCAAGUGUUUGGGAUUCCAUCUCCCAUUAUCACUUACUAUUGCCCAUCAUAUCUGUAUCAAAUGGGAAUUGUAUUGCCAUGCAUCUUGAAGAGUUCCAGCUUGCUAUACUUUAUGUUAAGGGACUUGUAAAACACUGAUUGAGCAGAUCACAUGACUAUUGCUGGUAGGCGCUUAGAACUGUGACAGGCAAAUAAUACUAUGCUUGUAUUAUGUUAUGGUUAGAUCAGGGGUAUCAACCUCAUUUUCAUAGAGGGACACAUCAGCAAGAUGGUUGACUUUAAAGGGCUGUUCGUAAUUGUAAGACUACAAAUGUAACUACUCCUUAACUUAUUGUUAAAUAACAUGAGGCACCAUAUCCAUGUUAUUAAAAUACUGCAUAAAAUUACCUUCAGUCUAACUGUAUAAAGUAUAUAUGAAAUCAAAA